UAUGGUGACUUUAGCAACAGGGAUCACCUCUUUCCAUAUCGAACAGAGAAGUUAAGCCUGUUAGCGCAGAUGGUACUAGGUAAAACUGGGAGAGUAUGUCGUCGCCAAUU
rnacentral:rRNA from 1 species